rnacentral:rRNA from 1 species
UGGUUAAGUGAAUAAGGGCGUACGGUGAAUGCCUUGGCACUAGGAGCCGAUGAAGGACGGGACGAACACCGAUAUGCUUCGGGGAGCUGUAAGUAAGCUUUGAUCCGGAGAUUUCCGAAUGGGGGAACCUCAUUGUUUUUAUCGACAAUGGUCCACUCAGUGAACACAUAGCUGAGGGGAAGGUAGACGUGGUGAACUGAAACAUCUCAGUAGCCACAGGAAGAGAAAGAAAAAUCGAUUUCCCGAGUAGCGGCGAGCGAAACGGAAAGAGGCCAAACCAGCGUGCUUGCAUGCUGGGGUUGUAGGACUGAUGGACGGGAGUGAAUGAGCUAGUCGAACGCCAUGGAAAGGGCGAUCAGAGAGGGUGACAAUCCCGUAGGCGAAAGCUCAGCCACCUCAUUCAGUAUCCUGAGUACGGCGGUACACGUGAAAUUCCGUCGGAAUCCGCCAGGACCAUCUGGCAAGCCUAAAUACUCCCUAGUGACCGAUAGUGAACCAGUACCGUGAGGGAAAGGUGAAAAGCACCCCGGAAGGGGAGUGAAAGAGUACCUGAAACCGUAUGCCUACAAGCAGUCAGAGCCCGUUAAGGGGUGAUGGCGUACUUUUUGUAGAACGGACCGGCGAGUGACGAUAGCAAGCAAGGUUAAGCUGAAGAAGCGGAGCCACAGCGAAAGCGAGUCUGAAGAGGGCGUUGAGUUUGUUGUCGUCGACCCGAAACCAAGUGAUCUACUCAUGUCCAGGCUGAAGGUGUGGUAAAACACACUGGAGGGCCGAACCCACGUCUGUUGAAAAAGGCGGGGAUGAGGUGUGGGUAGCGGUGAAAUUCCAAUCGAACUUGGAGAUAGCUGGUUCUCUCCGAAAUAGCUUUAGGGCUAGCCUCGGAUGAUGACUAUUGGAGGUAGAGCACUGUUUGAUCGAGGGGUCCAUCCUGGAUUACCGACAUCUGAUAAACUCCGAAUGCCAAAUAGUUUAGUCCGGGAGUCAGACUGCGAGUGAUAAGAUCCGUAGUCGAAAGGGAAAGAGCCCAGACCACCAGCUAAGGUCCCAAAGUUUCAGUUAAGUGGAAAAGGAUGUGGGGUUGCUUAGACAACUAGGAUGUUGGCUUAGAAGCAGCCAUCAUUGAAAGAGUGCGUAAUAGCUCACUAGUCGAGUGACCCUGCGCCGAAAAUGUACCGGGGCUAAACUGAACACCGAAGCUGUGGAUCCGUAGGAUGGUAGGAGAGCGUUCUAUAGGCAGAGAAGCAUGAUCGUGAGGACAUGUGGAGCGUAUAGAAGUGAGAAUGCCGGUAUGAGUAGCGAAAGACGGGUGAGAAUCCCGUCCACCGAAUGACUAAGGUUUCCUGGGGAAGGCUCGUCCUCCCAGGGUUAGUCGGGACCUAAGCCGAGACCGAAAGGGAUAGGCGAUGGACAACAGGUUGAGAUUCCUGUACUUGUUUGAUUUGUUUGAGCGAUGGAAGGACACAGAAGGCUAAGCGGAGCGCGGAGAUGGAAAAACGCGUCCAAGCAAUGAGUGAGAAGGUGAGUGAAAGGCUUGCCUCAGACUUCAUGAGUUGUGACGGGGAGGGAAGUUUAGUACCGAAGCCGCCGACGUCACGCUGUCAAGAAAAGUUUCUAGUGAGAAUCAAACAACCCGUACCGCAAACCGACACAGGUAGUCGAGUGGAGAACACUAAGGUGAGCGAGCGAACUCUCGUUAAGGAACUCGGCAAAAUGACCCCGUAACUUCGGGAGAAGGGGUGCUGACCGCAAGGUCAGCCGCAGUGAAUAGGCCCAAGCGACUGUUUAUCAAAAACAUAGGUCUCUGCCAAAUCGAAAGAUGAUGUAUAGAGGCUGACGCCUGCCCGGUGCUGGAAGGUUAAGAGGAAGGGUUAGCGUAUGCGAAGCUCUGAAUUGAAGCCCCAGUAAACGGCGGCCGUAACUAUAACGGUCCUAAGGUAGCGAAAUUCCUUGUCAGGUAAGUUCUGACCCGCACGAAAGGCGUAACGAUUUGGGCACUGUCUCAACGAGAGGCUCGGUGAAAUUGUAGUACCAGUGAAGAUGCUGGUUACCCGCGACAGGACGGAAAGACCCCAUGGAGCUUUACUGUAGGUUGAUAUUGAAUGUUUGUGCCACAUGUACAGGAUAGGUAGGAGCCAUCGAAGUCGGGACGCUAGUCUCGAUGGAGGCACUGGUGGGAUACUACCCUUGUGGGAUGACCAUUCUAACCCGCGACCAUUAGCUGGUCGGGAGACAGUGUCAGUCAGGCAGUUUGACUGGGGCGGUCGCCUCCUAAAGUGUAACGGAGGCGCCCAAAGGUUCCCUCAGAAUGGUUGGAAAUCAUUCGCAGAGUGUAAAGGCAGAAGGGAGCUUGACUGCGAGACCUACAAGUCGAGCAGGGACGAAAGUCGGGCUUAGUGAUCCGGUGGUUCCGCAUGGAAGGGCCAUCGCUCAACGGAUAAAAGCUACCCUGGGGAUAACAGGCUUAUCUCCCCCAAGAGUUCACAUCGACGGGGAGGUUUGGCACCUCGAUGUCGGCUCAUCGCAUCCUGGGGCUGAAGUCGGUCCCAAGGGUUGGGCUGUUCGCCCAUUAAAGCGGUACGCGAGCUGGGUUCAGAACGUCGUGAGACAGUUCGGUCCCUAUCCGUCGCGGGCGUUGGAAAUUUGAGAGGAGCUGUCCUUAGUACGAGAGGACCGGGAUGGACACACCGCUGGUGUACCAGUUGUUCCACCAGGAGCAUGGCUGGGUAGCUAUGUGUGGACGGGAUAAGCGCUGAAAGCAUCUAAGCGUGAAGCCCCCCUCAAGAUGAGAUUUCCCAUACUUUGAAAGUAGUAAGACCCCUGAAAGACGAUCAGGUUGAUAGGUUUGGAGUGGAAGCUUAGCAAUAAGUGGAGCGGACAAAUACUAAUCGGUCGAGGACUUAUCCAAA